GAUGAACGCUGGCGGCGUGCCUAAUACAUGCAAGUCGAGCGAACGGACGAGAAGCUUUCUUCUCUGAUGUUAGCGGCGGACGGGUGAGUAACACGUGGAUAACCUACCUAUAAGACUGGUAUAACUUCGGAAAACCGGAGCUAAUACCGGAUAAUAUUUUGAACCGCAUGGUUCAAAAGUGAAAGACGGUCUUGCUGUCACUUAUAGAUGGAUCCGCGCUGCAUUAGCUAGUUGGUAAGGUAACGGCUUACCAAGGCAACGAUGCAUAGCCGACCUGAGAGGGUGAUCGGCCACACUGGAACUGAGACACGGUCCAGACUCCUACGGGAGGCAGCAGUAGGGAAUCUUCCGCAAUGGGCGAAAGCCUGACGGAGCAACGCCGAGUGAGUGAUGAAGGUCUUCGGAUCGUAAAACUCUGUUAUUAGGGAAGAACAUAUGUGUAAGUAACUGUGCACAUCUUGACGGUACCUAAUCAGAAAGCCACGGCUAACUACGUG
rnacentral:rRNA from 1 species